rnacentral:sRNA from 1 species
CGCCUCUGCGAAGCCCCUGCCUCGGGCCCUGUGCAACGCUUUUUCCGACGGAGUCUUGCUCUGUCACCUAGGCUGGAGUGCAAUGGCACGAUCUCGGCUCACUGCAACCUCUGCCUCCUGGGUUCAAGCGAUUCUCCUGCCUCGGCCUCCCAAGUAGCUGGGAUUACAGGUGCGUGCCACCAGGCCUGGCUAAUUGUUUGUAUUUUUAGCAGAGGCAGGGUUUCACCAUGUUGGCCAAGCUGGUCUCGAACUCCUGACCUCAAGCAAUUCACCCUCCUUGGCCUCCCAAAGUGCUGGGAUUACAGGGAAGAAAAGUCAGAAGACCAGGACCUCCAGGGCCUCAAGGACAAACCCCUCAAGUUUAAAAAGGUGAAGAAAGAUAAGAAAGAAGAGAAAGAGGGCAAGCAUGAGCCCGUGCAGCCAUCAGCCCACCACUCUGCUGAGCCCGCAGAGGCAGGCAAAGCAGAGACAUCAGAAGGGUCGGGCUCCG